rnacentral:lncRNA from 1 species
AUCUCAUUGAUUUUUCUGUUCUCAGAUUUAUUUCUGCUUAACUUUAUAUUGUUUCCUUCCUUCUAUUUAUGUUAGGUUUAGGUUGCACUUCUUUUUUGUUAUUGUUGUUAGUUUCUUAAGGUUUAUGGUUAGGUACUUAAUUUGAGGUUUUUCAUUGAUUUUGGGUUUGUUUUUUUUGUUUUUUGUUUUUUGUUUUUUUUGGUUUUUUUGGCUGCACCCAUGACACUUGGAAGUUCCCAGGCCAGGGAUUGAACCCGAGUCACAGUAGUGACCCAAGCCAAUGCAAUGACAACGCCAGAUCCUUAACCUUCUGUGCCACAAUAGAACAACAAGCUCUUCUAUUUUUUAAUAUAGAAUUUACAGUUAUAAACUUACCUCUAAGCUUUAGCGCAUCCCAUAACUUUUGACACAUUUUGUUCUUGUUUCUUUUCUUUUUUUUUUUUUUUUUUUUUUUGGCGUUUUUGUUUGUUUGUUUGUUUGUUUAGGGCCGCACCUGCUGGCGUAUGGAGGUUCCCAGGCUAGGGGUCGAAUCAGAGCUGUAGCUGCUGGCCUAUGCCGCAGCCACAGCCACAGCAACGCCAGAUCCGAACUGCAUCUAUGACCUACACCACAGCUCAUGGCAAUGCUGGUUUCUUAACCCACUGAACAAGGCCAGGGAUUGAACCUGCAUCCUCAUGGAUACUAGUCAGAUUCAUUUCUGCUGAGCCACGAUGGGAACUGCAUUCUUGUUUUCAUUUAUCUCAAAGUAUUUCGUAAUUUCCCUUGUGAUUUCUUCUUGACUUAUUGGUUAUUUUGGAGUGUGAUUUCUGCACAAUUUGUGAAUUUCUUGCAUUACCUUCUGUUAUUUAUUUCUUUCAUUCCGCCCUAAUCAGAGAACAUACUUUGUAUGAUUUCAAUCCUUUAAAUUUGACAUGACCUAACAUAAGGUCUAUCCUGAGAAUAUUCCAUAUGCACUUGAGAAAAGUGUAUAUUCUGUUCUUUUAAAUAGAGUACUCUAUAAAUGUCCCUUAGGUCUAGUUAGUUCCUAGUGUUGUUCAAGUCUUCUGUUUCCUUGUUGAUCUUCUUAUAGUUCCAUUCAUUGUUGAAAGUGAGGUAUUGAUGUCUCCAACUAUUACCAUUUUGUUUAUUUAUCCCUUAAUUUCUGUCAUUUUUUUACUUCAUGUAUUUUGAGGCUCUGUUGUUAGGCAGAGAAAAAAUAUGUUUAUAAUUAUAUACAUUCUUGAUGAAUUGACUUUGUGGGGAUACAGAUUAAGAGCCUUUAUUAAGUUUUAUUGGGGUAUAGUUGUAUUAGUUUGAAGUGUAUGGUGAGGUGAAUCAGAUACAUCAAAGUGAAUAUAUAUAUAUCUCCACCUUUUUCAGAUUUUUUUACCCAUACAGGCUAUUACAAAAUAUUGAGUAGAGUUCCCAGGCUAGGGGUCCAGUCGGAGCUAUAGCCACCGGCCUACGCCAGAGCCAUAGCAACGCGGGAUCCGAGCUGCGUCUGCAACCUACACCACAGCUCAAGGGAACGCCGGAUCGUUAACCCACUGAGCAAGGGCAGGGACCGAACCCGCAACCUCAUGGUUCCUAGUCGGAUUCGUUAACCACUGCGCCACGACGGGAACUCCCUAAAAGUGUAUCUUCUAGCAGGAGGCAUGCCAGGAGGAAUGCCUGGGGGCUUCCCUGGUGGCACCUACUCUGGGCCCACCAUUGAGGAGGUUGAUUAAAUCAUCCUGGCAUAGAUUUGGCAUCAUUCCACAUGACAUUGAAGGAUCCAAAUUUGUUGCAAAUUCCAUGGUAGUUGUAAAGUUGAGCUGCUAUAGUAAAUAACUGAGCAUUCUUGAUACUUGAAUAUGGAAUAUGCAUAAGGAAAGGAAAUAACAUUGCACUUUAUUAGCACUGUAUUGUUAAGUGGAAAAUGCAGUGUCUUAAAUAAAACUAUUUAAAAUUGGCACCAUAAAGAAAUAAAGUAUCUUCUAUAGGCAGAAUAUAGUUGGGUUAUGUUAUUUUUAUCCACUCAAAAGGCCAAUAUCUGCCUUUUGAUUUGAGUUUUUAAUCCAUUUAUAUUUAAUGUCAAUACUGACAGCAUUUAUGUUUUCCAUUUUGCUAUUUGUUUUCUACAUGACUUAUGUCUUUUGAUUUCUCUGUUCCUCUACUACCAUCUUCUUUUGUAGAUACUUUCUAGUAUACUAUCUUAAUUAUCUUGUCGUUUUUCUUUGCCUAUAUUUUUGGAGUAAUUUUCUUAGUGGUUUCCUGGGGAUUACGAUUAACAUCUUAAUUUAUAGCAAUCUAGUUCUAGUUAAUACAACUUCAGUAGUAUACAAAAAUUUCAUUCCUAUGUACAUCCACUUCUUCCCCUUCCUUUAUUCUAUUAUUAUCAUGUAUAUACAUCUUUAAACAUUAUAAGCUCUCAACACUGCUUUAUAAGUAUUGUAGUUUUAAUCAGGAGAAAGAAGUGACAAAUAAAAAAUACAUUUAUAUUGUCUUCAUAUUUAGCUGUGUGUUACCCUGACCAAAGUGUUCUUUAUUUCUUCUUGAGAAUUCAGGUUACUAUCUAGUGUUCUUUCAUUUCAGCCUGAAGGAUUCCUUUUAAUAUUUUUGUAAAGAAGGUCUGCUGGUGACCUUCUCUAAGGUUUUGUUUCUCUGAAAAGUUCUUAAUUUUUCCUUUUUUUGAAAGAUGAUUUUUCUGGAUAUACAGUUCUAGGUUGAUAGUUUUUCUUUCAGCAACUUGAUUAAGCCAUUCCACUGCCUCCUGCUCUACAGGGUUUCUUGCAUGUAAUGAAUCACUUCUUUUGUUUUCAAGAUUUUCUUUGUCUUUGAUUACCAAUAGUUUGAUUAUUAUGUGUCUAAAUAUAGCUCUAUCAGACUUUUUUUUUUAUUCGAAAUCUAUUGAUCUUGGAUAUGUAGAUUAAUGGUUUUUAUUAAAUUUGAGAGGUUUUUAGCUAUAUUUCUCUGAAUAUUCUUUCUUUUUUCUCUUUAUUUUGUCCUUCUGGGACUCCCAUUUUGGUACAUUUUAAAGUAUGCCAUAGGAAAAAUAAAUAAAAAUAAAAGGGAGUUCCCCUUGAGGCUCACUGGGUUAAUAACCCGAUAUAGUCUCUGUGAGGAUGUGGGUUUGAUCCCUGGCUUCACUCAGUGGGUUAAGGAUCCAGCAUUGCUGCAAGUUGUGGUGUAGGUCACAAAUGUGGCUCAGAUAUGGUGUUGCAGUGGCUGUGGUGUAGGCCUGCAGCUACAGCUCUUAUUCAACCACUAGCCCAGGAAUUUCUAUAUGCCACAGGUGUGGCCAUAAAAAGAAAAAAAAAUAGUGUGCCAUAGGACUCAGAGUCACAAAUGAGUGAAAAAAAUUUCCAAUUUUGUAAAUGUAAAAUGAUUUUAAGAAUCUUCUCUUAUGAAACUCUCUGAGUAACACUGUCGCUGAGUCCUGAAAAUUCUUAGUGAGGGUGGUUUUUACUGAAGACACCAAUUUGAAGAUGUUUACUAAAGGUAAGUCCUUGUAGACUAGGUAAAUUUAUGAUAUAUAUUUUAUAAACCUUUAUUUUCUUAUUGUGUGCCAAACAGAUGGGCUAAUAAUCAUCGUCAUCAUGUUUUAAAAGCAUGCUUUCCCAUAUAUAUUCUCAGGACAGUCAACACAACCACUCUCAGAGACAGGCAAGGCACAAAUUGAUUUUGCCAUUUCACAAAUGAGGAAAGACCUGAAAGUUUAUGGACCUGCUGAGAAUGCAAAACCAGGAGUUAGUCACGUUUUAUAACCUAGGUUUAAUGCUAUAAGUUCUGCUCUUUAUAACAUGAGCAUUAACAACUAUAAACCAGACCUUGUGUUUUCAAACAGAAGCACAUGGUAUGGAGUGCCUGAGCAGUAGCCACAACUAGGCUAAGAAUUGAGGAAGCAGCAAAGAGGGAAAAGAGUAAUGACAUUUCCAGCCUUCCAGUUUAGAAAGUCCCACUUAAUAUUUUAUUUCAUUCUACAGCAGUCUUACGAAGAAAUUAUGAUUAUUCCAUUUUAAAACAGUUUAGGAAACAGGAUUUCUGAGAGUUUAAAAUAGCUAGGAAUUCCCAUGGUUGUGCAGUGGUAAUGAACCCAACUAGUAUCCAUGAGCAUGAGGAGGCAGGUUUGAUCCCUGGCCUUGCUCAGUGGGUUAAGAAUCCAGCAUUGCUGUGAGCUGUGGUGUAGGUCUCAGACACUGCUCAGAUCCUGUGUUGCUGUGGCUGUGGUGUAGGCCAGCAGCUACAGCUCCAAUUCCACCCCUAGCCUGGGAACUUCCAUGCGCUGCAGCUGUGGCCCUAAAAAAAAANNNNNNNAAAAAAAAAAAAAAAAAAAA